rnacentral:rRNA from 1 species
GUAGGGUGCGAGCGUUAAUCGGAAUUACUGGGCGUAAAGCGUGCGCAGGCGGUGAGUUAAGUCUGCUGUGAAAGCCCCGGGCUCAACCUGGGAACGGCAGUGGAAACUGGCUCGCUGGAGUAUGGCAGAGGGGGGUGGAAUUCCGCGUGUAGCAGUGAAAUGCGUAGAGAUGCGGAGGAACACCGAUGGCGAAGGCAGCCCCCUGGGCCAAUACUGACGCUCAGGCACGAAAGCGUGGGGAGCAAACAGGAUUAGAUACCCUGGUAGUCCACGCCCUAAACGAUGUCAACUGGGUGUUGGGGAAGCGAUUCCUAGGUACCGUAGCUAACGCGUGUAGUUGACCGCCUGGGGAGUCCGGCCGCAAGGUU